GUCUACAACCAUACCAUUUUGUACUCACCAAUAUCAUCUGAUCUUGGAAGCUAAGCAGGGUUAGGUCAGAUUGGUAUGUGGAUGGGAAAAACAGAUUUAGUGGUUA
ensembl:rRNA 5S_rRNA 5S ribosomal RNA